rnacentral:rRNA from 1 species
UACGUAGGGGGCUAGCGUUGUCCGGAUUUAUUGGGCGGAAAGAGCGUGUAGGCGGCCUGGUAGGUCUGCUGUGAAAACUCGAGGCUCAACCUCGAGAUGUCGGCGGAAACCAUCUGGCUAGAGUCCGGAAGAGGAGAGUGGAAUUCCUGGUGUAGCGGUGAAAUGCGCAGAUAUCAGGAAGAACACCUAUGGCGAAGGCAGCUCUCUGGGACGGUACUGACGCUGAGACGCGAAAGCGUGGGGAGCGAACAGG